rnacentral:rRNA from 1 species
UACGUAGGGUGCAAGCGUUGUCCGGAAUUAUUGGGCGUAAAGAGCUCGUAGGCGGUCUGUCGCGUCGGUCGUGAAAACUUGGGGCUUAACCCUGAGCUUGCGGUCGAUACGGGCAUGACUGGAGUUCGGCAGGGGAGACUGGAAUUCCUGGUGUAGCGGUGAAAUGCGCAGAUAUCAGGAGGAACACCGGUGGCGAAGGCGGGUCUCUGGGCCGAAAUUGACGCUGAGGAGCGAAAGCGUGGGGAGCAAACAGG